ACACAUGCAAGUCGAACGGGAUCUGCGUGGCCUUUGUGGUUGUGUGGUGAGAGUGGCGAACGGGUGAGUAACACGUGAGUAACCUGCCUUUUUCUUUGGGAUAACGCUCAGAAAUGGGUGCUAAUACUGGAUGUUCUGCGCUUUCCGCAUGGGGGGUGUGGGAAAGGGGCCUUUGUGGUUUCUGGAGGGAGAUGGGCUCGCGGCUUAUCAGCUUGUUGGUGGGGUGAUGGCUUACCAAGGCUUUGACGGGUAGCCGGCCUGAGAGGGUGGGCGGUCACAUUGGGACUGAGAUACGGCCCAGACUCCUACGGGAGGCAGCAGUGGGGAAUUUUGCACAAUGGGGGGAACCUUGAUGCAGCGACGCCGCGUGAGGGAUGGAGGCCUUCGGGUUGUGAACCUCUUUCGCUCGUGUGCAAGCCGCUAUUUGGGUAGUGGUGAGUGUAGCGGGUAAAGAAGCGCCGGCUAACUACGUGCCAGCAGCCGCGGUAAUACGUAGGGCGCGAGCGUUGUCCGGAUUUAUUGGGCGUAAAGGGCUUGUAGGCGGUUUGUCGCGCCUGUCGUGUAAUCCUCUGGCUUAACUGGGGGUGUGCGGUGGGUACGGGCAGGCUUGAGUGCGGUAGGGGAGAUUGGAAUUCCUGGUGUAGCGGUGGAAUGCGCAGAUAUCAGGAGGAACACC
rnacentral:rRNA from 1 species